rnacentral:sRNA from 1 species
ACUAUCAAGAUUUAUUAGUUCCAUUUCAAUAAUUCUAGUCACUUUACACUCCCCAUUCUGAUUCUGAUCCCACUGGGAAUCACGCCAAGAAAUGGACUGGGACCAAAGGCCAGCCUACUCUUUCAGUGCUUAUCCAAUAAGCUCCAGGCCGUGCCACAGGUUUACAACAAUAAAUGUUUCUCAACAAAAAUUAUGAAUUGAUUAAGGAAAGAAAGAGAAAGGAAAUCAGAAGAAAAGAUUGUAUGAAGAGGGUUCUUAUAGAGAAAAGUUCAGAAUGGAAGAAUAUCAGAAGCUGCUCCACAGUGAAGCACAGAGUGAAAGAACAUUAAGAGAUAUGUGUAAGAAUUGUUAGAAGUUAUGCAAGCAUGGAACAUGGAGCAGAGGAAUCAUUGAGAGCUAUGUGGAAGAAUUGUUAGAGACUAUGCAAGCAUGGAACACAGAGUAGAGGAACAUAAGAAGCUAUGUGGAAGAAUUGUUAGAGACUAUGCAAGUGCAGAGCAUGGAGUGGAAGAACAUUAAGAGCUACACAGAAGAAUCAUUAGAAACUACACAAAUGCAGAGCAUGAAGUGAAAGAACA